CAUGAGCAGCGGCAGUGGAAGAAGCAGCUGGUGGUGGUGUUGGAUCGGGAAGAAACCAUGGCCGAUGGGAGAACUGGAAGAAGAAUUUUGAUUCCCUCUGGUUGUUUUUUUCUUUCUGGUUCUUAGCUGUGACUUAGCUUCAAAUCCUGAGUUUCAGUGGUUGUUAAGCGAAGUGUGGCGAAGAAAGUCAAAGAACGCCAUUUUUCAUCGGUCAGGUUCAUUGAAUUAAC
rnacentral:lncRNA from 1 species